rnacentral:rRNA from 1 species
UACGUAGGGUGCGAGCGUUGUUCGGAAUUACUGGGCGUAAAGAGUGUGUAGGCGGUGUUCCCAGUCUGUUGUGAAAUCUCCCGGCUUAACUGGGUGGGUGCAGCGGAAACUAGAAUGCUAGAGGGUGGGAGAGGUAAGCGGAAUUCCUGGUGUAGCGGUGAAAUGCGUAGAGAUGUGGAGGAACACCGAUGGCGAAGGCAGCCCCCCUGGGCUAACACUGACGCUCAUGCACGAAAGCGUGGGGAGCAAACAGG